AUGAACGCUGGCGGCGUGCCUAAUACAUGCAAGUCGAGCGAACAGACGAGGAGCUUGCUCCUCUGACGUUAGCGGCGGACGGGUGAGUAACACGUGGAUAACCUACCUAUAAGGCUGGGAUAACUUCGGGAAACCGGAGCUAAUACCGGAUAAUAUAUUGAACCGCAUGGUUCAAUAGUGAAAGACGGUUUUGCUGUCACUUAUAGAUGGAUCCGCGCCGCAUUCGCUAGUUGGUAAGGUAACGGCUUACCAAGGCAACGAUGCGUAGCCGACCUGAGAGGGUGAUCGGCCACACUGGAACUGAGACACGGUCCAGACUCCUACGGGAGGCAGCAGUAGGGAAUCUUCCGCAAUGGGCGAAAGCCUGACGGAGCAACGCCGCGUGAGUGAUGAAGGUCUUCGGAUCGUAAAACUCUGUUAUUAGGGAAGAACAAAUGUGUAAGUAACUAUGCACGUCUUGACGGUACCUAAUCAGAAAGCCACGGCUAACUACGUG
rnacentral:rRNA from 1 species